AUAGUGGAGUUUUUUAACUCCACUUUUUUUAGCAAAAAAUAAAAG
rfam:Cetobacterium somerae ATCC BAA-474 genomic scaffold Scaffold79, whole genome shotgun sequence.